rnacentral:rRNA from 1 species
ACGCUCGACACCUACGGGAGCAGCAGUGGGGAAUAUUGCACAAUGGGGGAAACCCUGAUGCAGCGACGCCGCGUGAAGGAAGAAGUAUUUCGGUAUGUAAACUUCUAUCAGCAGGGAAGAAAAUGACGGUACCUGACUAAGAAGCCCCGGCUAACUACGUGCCAGCAGCCGACGGUAAUCUGAGGCGGGCUGGCAAGGC